rnacentral:misc_RNA from 1 species
AUUUUUCAUUUGCAUCAGCAUGGCAUUCCGAUGGCGUUACCUUUGCCACUGGGAACCAGGACAAAACAUGCAGGAUUUGGGAUGUAAGAAAUUUAUCAAAGUCAGUAGCUGCUCUGAAAGGCAACCUUGGAGCCAUUCGGUCCAUCCGCUAUUCCUCUGAUGGUCGGUACAUGGCAAUGGCAGAACCAGCAGACUUCGUGCACGUGUUUGACGUGAAAAGUGGGUAUGAGAAAGAACAAGAAAUUGACUUUUUUGGAGAAAUCUCUGGUGUAUCCUUUAGUCCGGACACCGAAUCGCUUUUCAUUGGAGUAUGGGAUCGAACAUAUGGUAGCCUUCUCGAGUACCACAGACGCCGAAAUUAUAGUUACCUAGAUUCGUUGUACUAAGUUUGGAAGUAUAAAGAAAACAAACUUGGGAAUAAGAUGGGUGGUGAAAAUGAAAAUUGUUUAAUUAACAUAGUAACAUGUAGUGGAUAUGUUCUUGUAAUUUGUAAGUGUAUAUUUAGUGUGUUGUGAAAACUAUAGCCUUAUGUAUUAUGAUUUGAUGACACUUUGGUUUUGAAGACACAAUUUGAUUGUAUGCUGAAGGGAGUGUAAAGAAAGGCUUGUGGGGGGAUG